CAGCCGCCGCGGUAAUACGUAGGUGGCAAGCGUUGUCCGGAAUUAUUGGGCGUAAAGGGCUCGCAGGCGGUUUCUUAAGUCUGAUGUGAAAGCCCCCGGCUCAACCGGGGAGGGUCAUUGGAAACUGGGAAACUUGAGUGCAGAAGAGGAGAGUGGAAUUCCACGUGUAGCGGUGAAAUGCGUAGAGAUGUGGAGGAACACCAGUGGCGAAGGCGACUCUCUGGUCUGUAACUGACGCUGAGGAGCGAAAGCGUGGGGAGCGAGCAGGAUUAGAUACCCGCGUAGUCCCUGUCUCUUAUAC
rnacentral:rRNA from 1 species